CAUUCUUUGUCUUCAUUUUCAGGAUAAGGGAAAUCCUGAAGGCGUCUAGAAAGUUGCAAGGCGAUCCGGAACUGCCGAUGUCCUUUACUUUGGCCAUAGUGGAGUCGGAUUCCACGAUAGUCUAUUAUAAACUUACCGAUGGGUUUAUGCUGCCAGACCCUCAGAAUAUUUCUCUUAGAAGAUGACGUCUGCCCUUCCUGGUACUGAUUUCCUCCCUGAAGGAUUGGCUGUGAGGCUCUUCAGCAUGCUUCAUCUUUCGUCUCCAAGUAGUCAGGGCUGACUUAGCUAGUCCCAACCCAUAAACUUCCUUUCAGAAUAAAACCUUCUCGGAUGGAAGCACUAUAUUGCUUGCAAAUAUAGUUAGCCUAGAACUUUCUUAUCAGAGACAGACAGUUACAUGCAGGUUUACAUCAAGGAUACGUUCAGUGUGGUGGAGCCUGGCUGUGCCUCUGCCAUCCCACAUGUGUAGUCGAUAGACAGGUAUCCGUGAAUGGUAUGGAGAAAACACUACAGCAAGAAACUGGACAUAGAGCAUUAACGUAUGUGGUCAUGGAUGUUAAUGACAUAUCAGGCUAUGAAAGUAGACAAUCAGAUUUCGUGGUCCCAAUAGGAUGGCAGGGCAGCAAGUGGAUGCCUUGACCUUCUCCACAUUUCAUUUGUUAUUUGUAUUACUUUUAUAAUAAAACGGUUUAAAUAAAAAAUAUCUUGAAA